rnacentral:tRNA from 2 species
GUGGGUGUAGCUCAGUUGGUAGAGCCCCGGAUUGUGGCUCCGGUUGUCGAGGGUUCGAGUCCCUUCACUCACCCCA